rnacentral:rRNA from 1 species
UACAGAGGUCUCAAGCGUUGUUCGGAUUCAUUGGGCGUAAAGGGUGCGUAGGCGGCGCGGUAAGUCGGGUGUGAAAUCUUGGAGCUUAACUCCGAAACUGCAUUCGAUACUGCCGUGCUUGAGGACUGGAGAGGAGACUGGAAUUUACGGUGUAGCGGUGAAAUGCGUAGAUAUCGGGAGGAACACCGGUGGCGAAGGCGGGGUCUCUGGGCCGAAAUUGACGCUGAGGAGCGAAAGCGUGGGGAGCAAACAGG